AUGUUCUACAGGACAAGAAAAAUCAAGGCAACAAAAAAUUACCAGAUUGUGACACUGGUUUUCUGGUGCCGCGGGUCCGGGUUCGAUUUUGGGAGUUUUGGAUUGAGCUGGGUUCGCCAAAGACCCGGGAAGGCGCUGGAAUUCGUCGCACUGAUCAGCAGCAGCGGUGGCUACACCGCCUACGCGCCGUCGGUCAAGUGCCGGUUCAGGAUCUCCAGGGACAACGGGCAGAGCUCGGUGACGCUGACCAUGAACAACCUCAAGGACGAGGAUUCCGGCGCCUAUUUCUGCGCCAAGGGUUCUGAUGCUGAUGCUACACGACGCUCUUCCGAUCUAUGCUGA